GACGAACGCUGGCGGCGUGCUUAACACAUGCAAGUCGAACGGAAAGGCCUGCUUUCCCUUGUGGAUUGCGGGUACUCGAGUGGCGAACGGGUGAGUAACACGUGAGUGAUCUGCCCCCAACUUGGGUAUAAGCCUGGGAAACUGGGUCUAAUUCCCGAUAGGACUGCAGGGUGGUGCCUGUGGUGGAAAACGAUUUUCUAGUGGUUGGGGAUGAGCUCGCGGCCUAUCAGCUUGUUGGUGGGGUAAUGGCCUACCAAGGCGGCGACGGGUAGCCGGCCUGAGAGGGUGGACGGCCACAUUGGGACUGAGAUACGGCCCAGACUCCUACGGGAGGCAGCAGUGGGGAAUAUUGCACAAUGGGCGGAAGCCUGAUGCAGCGACGCCGCGUGGGGGAUGACGGCCUUCGGGUUGUAAACUCCUUUCGACCGCGAGGAAGCCACCUGGUUGGAAGGGUGGUGACGGUAGUGGUAGAAGAGGCACCGGCUAACUACGU
rnacentral:rRNA from 1 species